CGGCAACAGCUCAAAUUUGAAAUCUAGCUCCUUUGGGGGUCCGAGUUGUAAUUUGUAGAGGGCGCUUUGGCGUUGGCAGCAGUCUAAGUUCUUUGGAACAGGACGUCGCAGAGGGUGAGAAUCCUGUAUGUGAUUGCGUGCCUUCACCGUGUAAAGCCCCUUC
rnacentral:rRNA from 1 species